GAUGUGCCUCCUCAUACAAGUCUCGUUGAAUUCGAAAUCCCUUCAACAUCUGAACAUACAGAAAACAUUGAAAGAUCGAUGAAAGAAAAAAAUGUAAGCAGAAACAGACACAAUCUCCAUCAACAAUGCCAACUAAUAUUUUAGAAGACUAUAACAUCGACAGAUACAAAAACAUUAGAGAAUGGAUAUCAAAAAAUCUAUCAGAGUAAGAUAUUCAAUUUAACCUCGUUAACUUAAAUAUUCUAAUUUGUAUUUUACUUUUUUGACGACAAUUUAAUUUUUUCUUAUACAGCGCAUACUGGAAAGAUGAAAUCGACAAUCUAUA
rnacentral:lncRNA from 1 species